AGUGAACGCUGGCGGUAGGCCUAACACAUGCAAGUCGAACGGCAGCACAGUAAGAGCUUGCUCUUACGGGUGGCGAGUGGCGGACGGGUGAGGAAUACAUCGGAAUCUACUUUUUCGUGGGGGAUAACGUAGGGAAACUUACGCUAAUACCGCAUACGACCUACGGGUGAAAGCAGGGGAUCUUCGGACCUUGCGCGAUUGAAUGAGCCGAUGUCGGAUUAGCUAGUUGGCGGGGUAAAGGCCCACCAAGGCGACGAUCCGUAGCUGGUCUGAGAGGAUGAUCACCCACACUGGAACUGAGACACGGUCCAGACUCCUACGGGCGGCAGCAGUGGGGAAUAUUGGACAAUGGGCGCAAGCCUGAUCCAGCCAUACCGCGUGGGUGAAGAAGGCCUUCGGGUUGUAAAGCCCUUUUGUUGGGAAAGAAAAGCAGCAGGUUAAUACCCCGCUGUUCUGACGGUACCCAAAGAAUAAGCACCGGCUAACUUCGUG
rnacentral:rRNA from 1 species